AGUCGUAACAAGGUAUCCGUAGGUGAACCUGCGGAUGGAUCAUUAUAGGUUAUUUUGAAUGUUGUGUGAACAGUGUGGUUGUAGUUGUGGUGGGUAUGUGGUAUAUUAUAUAUAUAUGAUAUAUUAUAUGGUAUAUGAUGUAUGUUAUAUGAUAUAUUAUAUGAUAUGGUAUAAUAUAUGAUAUCAUCCACCUUGACAACAUUGACGUACAUUAGUGCUGAAUAUCAUUAUAUUGAAAUAUAAACAACUUUCAGCAAUGGAUCUCUUGGCUCUC
rnacentral:misc_RNA from 1 species